rnacentral:rRNA from 1 species
UCCUACGGGAGGCAGCAGUGGGGGAUAUUGCACAAUGGGGGAAACCCUGAUGCAGCGACGCCGCGUGGAGGAAGAAGGUUUUCGGAUUGUAAACUCCUGUCGUUAGGGACGAUAAUGACGGUACCUAACAAGAAAGCACCGGCUAACUACGUGCCAGCAGCCGCGGUAAAACGUAGGGUGCAAGCGUUGUCCGGAAUUACUGGGUGUAAAGGGAGCGCAGGCGGGAUGACAAGUUGGAAGUGAAAACCAUGGGCUCAACCCAUGAAUUGCUUUCAAAACUGUUUUUCUUGAGUAGUGCAGAGGUAGAUGGAAUUCCCGGUGUAGCGGUGGAAUGCGUAGAUAUCGGGAGGAACACCAGUGGCGAAGGCGGUCUACUGGGCACCAACUGACGCUGAGGCUCGAAAGCAUGGGUAGCAAACAGGAUUAGAUACCCUGGUAGUCCAUGCCGUAAACGAUGAUUACUAGGUGUUGGAGGAUUGACCCCUUCAGUGCCGCAGUUAACACAAUAAGUAAUCCACCA